rnacentral:sRNA from 1 species
AUGCACCCCCUUGUACACUGCGGUCUCUGCAAGCUGUCCGUGACCACCCGACAGCAACCCGCAACGUUUUGUUAGCC